AAAUGAAUAGACGGGGGCCCGCACAAGCGGCGGAGCAUGCGGAUUAAUUCGAUGCAACGCGAAGAACCUUACCAGGGCUUGACAUAUACCGAACACUCAUAGAGAUAUGAGGUCCGCAAGGGCGGUAUACAGGUGGUGCAUGGUUGUCGUCAGCUCGUGUCGUGAGAUGUUGGGUUAAGUCCCGCAACGAGCGCAACCCUCGUCCUAUGUUGCCAGCACGUAAUGGUGGGGACUCAUAGGAGACCGCCGGGGUCAACUCGGAGGAAGGUGGGGAUGAGGUCAAAUCAUCAUGCCCCUUAUGUCCUGGGCUUCACGCAUGCUACAAUGGCUGGUACAAAGGGCUGCGAAAUCGUAAGGUGGAGCGAAUCCCAAAAAGCCAGUCUCAGUUCGGAUUGGGGUCUGCAACUCGACCCCAUGAAGUAGGAGUCGCUAGUAAUCGCAGAUCAGCAACGCUGCGGUGAAUACGUUCCCGGGCCUUGUACACACCGCCCGU
rnacentral:rRNA from 1 species